ensembl:misc_RNA Y_RNA Y RNA
UGGUGUUUACAACUAAUUGAUCACAACCAGUUACAGAUUUCUUUGUUCUUUCUCCAUUCCCA